rnacentral:tRNA from 1 species
GCCGGACCCAUUGGGUACUGUCCGGAACAGCCGGUCAGCGGAUUUGUAAACCGCAGGUUGUGGGUUCGAGUCCCACCCUGGGCUCCA